rnacentral:rRNA from 1 species
AAUGAACGCUGGCGGCAUGCCUAACACAUGCCAGUCGAACGAAGGCUUCGGCCCUAGUGGCGCACGGGUGCGUAACGCGUGGGAAUCUGCCCCUUGGUUCGGAAUAACAGUUAGAAAUGACUGCUAAUACCGGAUGAUGACGUAAGUCCCAAGAUUUAUCGCCGAGGGAUGAGCCCGCGUAGGAUUAGCUAGUUGGUGUGGUAAGAGCGCACCAAGGCGACGAUCCUUAGCUGGUCUGAGAGGAUGAUCAGCCACACUGGGACUGAGACACGGCCCAGACUCCUACGGGAGGCAGCAGUGGGGAAUAUUGGACAAUGGGCGAAAGCCUGAUCCAGCAAUGCCGCGUGAGUGAUGAAGGCCUUAGGGUUGUAAAGCUCUUUUACCCGGGAUGAUAAUGACAGUACCGGGAGAAUAAGCUCCGGCUAACUCCGUG